GGGGGCGAAUUGGAUUCGACGUUUAUACUGGACUCCAAAACGCAUGCCAAGAAUGUGAUAAAUCUUGUAAAACAUAUCACAAAUAAAUAGUUGCAAAUAACGACAACUACGCUUUAGCCGCUUAAUUGGCUAACCAUUGUAAUAAUUGGCUGUGAUUAGAAGCAAUGGAAAUUUCACAGCCUAGAGAGCUUACGGUGUCUGUACGUGAAAUCUUGAAUAUUAUUCACAGACUAGUCUUAAGUUCCUGCUUAUUGGAUAGCUUAGGAUAAAGAUUGUAAAUAAGCUAAGCAUGUAGAAGUUAGGUUGAAGGAUGAGCGGACGCGGGUUCGAUACCCGCCGCCUCCACCA
rnacentral:tmRNA from 1 species